CCUACGGGAGGCAGCAGUCGAGAAUCAUUCACAAUGGGGGAAACCCUGAUGGUGCGACGCCGCGUGGGGGAAGGAAGGUUUUCGGAUUGUAAACUCCUGUCAUGUGGGAGCAAAUUAAAAAGUUAGUACCACAAGAGGAAGAGCCGGCUAACUCUGUGCCAGCAGCCGCGGUAAUACAGAGGUCUCAAGCGUUGUUCGGAAUCACUGGGCGUAACGCGUGCGUAGGCUGUUGCGUAAGUCGUGUGUGAAAGGCGCGGGCUCAACCCGCGGACGGCACAUGAUACUGCGAGACUAGAGUAAUGGAGGGGGAACCGGAAUUCUCGGUGUAGCAGUGAAAUGCGUAGAUAUCGAGAGGAACACUCGUGGCGAAGGCGGGUUCCUGGACAUUAACUGACGCUGAGGCACGAAGGCCAGGGGAGCGAAAGGGAUUAGAUACCCGAGUAGUC
rnacentral:rRNA from 1 species